GGGGAAUGAAAUUUACACUUGAAUGUACUGAAGUUUUGGUACACCUGUAGAUUAGGGAUGUAUUAAGCGAGGAUCCCCUUUGUUCUGAUGAUGAUAUUAGUUGGUGUGCCUCUGUUCUUUAUGGAGGCUGCUUUAGGACAGUUCUGUAGCAGUGGUCCCAUGACGUGUUGGAGAUUCGCGCCUUUAUUCAAAGGUGUGGGGAUAGCUAUGGUGGCCGUGUCUGCCCUGACGUCACUGUAUUACAACAUGAUCCUGGCCUGGUCCUACUAUUACUUCUUCGCUUCCUUCACCAGCGACCUACCGUGGGUCUCGUGUGACAACUCAUGGAACACCAGGGACUGCAGUACAAUGCUACCACUGACAGACUGCGCAGACUCAGUUGGACAGAAGUACGACAACGGCACGUGUUUGAAUGGCGACACGUUUGUCGGACUCUGGGAUGUGAAAAAGUUCACCAGCGCAACCGGACGAAAACGGAAACUAGCCUCGGAAGAGUAUUGGGAGAAGAUCGCACUGGAUCAGAGUUCCGGAAUCGAGGACUUCGGACAACCGAAGUGGGAUUUGGUUUUGUGCCUUAUGCUCGCGUGGAUCGUCUGCUUCUUGUGCCUCAUCAAAGGCAUCAAAUCUACUGGCAAGGUUGUGUAUUUCACUGCAGUAUUCCCAUAUGUUGUCCUCCUCAUCUUAUUCUUCAACGGAAUAUUUCUCAGUAACGCGGGGGAGGGAAUAUAUUUCUACAUAGUCCCAGACUUCUCUAGACUUCUGGAUGCAGGGGUUUGGAAGGACGCGGCCGUCCAGAUUUUCUUCUCGAUGUCCAUCGCUGGGGGAGGAUUGGUCACCCUCUCCAGUUACAACCGUUUCCAUAACAACAUAUUGCUGGAUUCUAUCAUCGUCAGUAUUGGGGACACGGUUACCUGUAUUUUUGCCGGGUUCGUCAUCUUUUCAUAUCUGGGUCACAUGGCCGGUGAACUCAACGUCAAAGUGGAGGACGUAGCCCAAAGCGGCGCCGGUCUGGCGUUCGUGGUGUACCCCACGGCCGUGGCCAGCCUUCCCGCCUCACCCUUCUGGUCCGCCCUCUUCUUCUUCAUGCUCAUCACACUCGGACUAGACAGCCAGUUUGCCAUGUUGGAGACGGUCCUGACGGGGGUUAUGGACCAGUACCCCACCCUGAGGCCCCACAAAACCCUCGUCAUCCUCGCCAUUUCCAUUGUCUUCUUCAUCAUCGGUCUUCCUCUUUGUGCUCCGGGAGGCGUGUACCUGGUCCAGAUACUGGACAACUAUGUGGGGGGAUGGACCCUACUUAUCAUAGGAUUCGCCGAGGUCACGUGUAUAACAUAUGUGUAUGGUGUAAAUAGAUUUAUCAGAGAUAUAGAGAUUAUGUUAGGAAAGAAGAUGAUUAUAUGGUGGAAAAUAUGCUGGAUGGUAAUUAGUCCUAUAGCAAUAUUGUUGAUAUUUAUUGCAACGUUCGUUGAAUACGAGGCCUCUACAUACGGGGACUACACGUUUCCGGCUUGGGCGGACGCCCUGGGGUGGAUCAUGGCGGUCGCCAUCAUUUUGGCCAUCCCUAUCACCAUGCUGUACCAAGUCAACAAAGAAGACGAAGUCACCUCUUUCUGGGGCAAAAUCAAGCUCCAGUGCAUUCCGUCCCGGGAGUGGGGCCCCGCCCUGGUCCGUCACAGAGAGCUGGUGGACUACGUGGACGGGUUCGUGCAGGAUCCCUGGGCCGAAAAAGGCGCGUUCGUGAACUACGCCUACAAGUCGGAUAGCGAGUUGCGGACCGGAAGUCUUCGGUCUUUGGAAGCUAGUCGGCUCUCUGCCAGAAUGAAGAAAUCCUUUGCAUCGUCCAAUGGUUCCACGAGAACCGGAAUAUCAUACGAAACUCACGUUUGAUACAUACAAUGAAAUAGGCAAUGCAUUACAAAUUUAAUAGAGGGCGAAGACUCGCGCAGUCGACAACACAAAUGUACUUGCAGACGAGAAUUAUCAUUUUGUUUUCAUCGUCUGUGAUAUGUUAACAAAUUGUUUUAUUGUGAAUCAUUCAUUGUCUAACAUCUACUAGACAGCAUUUAUACUGGAUGAAUACUCUUUGGACUGCAUGGUUCAGCGUGGAGUGGUAAUCUCUCAAUGUAUGUGGAAGUUUAAAGGACCAAACAUAAUACAAAUAUACCGGUAGUAUGCAUACAAUCAGUGUGACAUUUCAGUAUUUUAUUUUCAUUGACAUUUUUUAUGAUAAUAUGCAGUAUGACAAAGAGCACUGAUAUUUUACAUUUUGUAUGUUUAUAAAGUCGUGGGAAGUUGGUAUUGUCUAUUGAACUCGACAAGUCAACUGGCUUGGAGAAUCUCGUUUUUUCAUGAAUACGCCAACUGAUAGUUUCACCUGCAAUGUACACACCACUUUUGGACUUUAAUGUCCAGUGCUUACUUGGAUUUCUUAUUUCUAUUUUUCUCUUAUCCAAAAUAUUUUUGAAAGGUUUUUUUUUCAUGUACGGAAGUAUUUUGUUUUAUGCAUAACAUUUUAAAAGUUUACACUUGCUUUUAGCUGUAUUUUGGAAUGUUUUUUAUUACUAUUCUAGAGAUCUUUACCUGGACUUACAUUGUAAUUAUACAUGCAUGUGAUAAUCUACAAGACACAAUAAAAAUAUGAUGUAAA
rnacentral:misc_RNA from 1 species